rnacentral:rRNA from 1 species
GGAAUCUUCCACAAUGGGCGCAAGCCUGAUGGAGCAACACCGCGUGAGUGAAGAAGGGUUUCGGCUCGUAAAGCUCUGUUGUUAAAGAAGAACACGUAUGAGAGUAACUGUUCAUACGUUGACGGUAUUUAACCAGAAAGUCACGGCUAACUACGUGCCAC